GACGUAGGGUGCGAGCGUUGUCCGGAUUUAUUGGGCGUAAAGAGCUCGUAGGCGGCUCGUCGCGUCGACCGUGAAAACCCACAGCUUAACUGUGGGCUUGCGGUUGAUACGGGCGGGCUAGAGUUCGGUAGGGGAGACUGGAAUUCCUGGUGUAGCGGUGGAAUGCGCAGAUAUCAGGAGGAACACCGGUGGCGAAGGCAGCCCCCUGGGAUGUGACUGACGCUCAUGUACGAAAGCGUGGGGAGCAAACAGG
rnacentral:rRNA from 1 species